UACGUAGGGUCCGAGCGUUGUCCGGAAUUAUUGGGCGUAAAGAGCUUGUAGGCGGCUUGUCGCGUCGGAAGUGAAAACUUAGAGCUUAACUCUGAGCCUGCUUCCGAUACGGGCUAGCUAGAGGAGGGUAGGGGAGAAUGGAAUUCCUGGUGGAGCGGUGGAAUGCGCAGAUAUCAGGAGGAACACCAGUGGCGAAGGCGGUUCUCUGGACCUUUCCUGACGCUGAGAAGCGAAAGCGUGGGGAGCAAACAGGCUUAGAUACCCUGGUAGU
rnacentral:rRNA from 1 species